UUAAUAAAUGCUUGGCUCGAGUAGUAGGUAGAUGGUUUAAAAACUACAUAUUGAACCUCAGCCCUUUUCUUACCUUCCAGUGUAAGAACACACAGAGCUGAAGCAAUAAAGGAUUAGCCCAUGCUAGCACAAAUGUGCUGUCAUUUUUAUGUUUAAA